rnacentral:rRNA from 1 species
UACGUAGGGGGCAAGCGUUGUUCGGAUUUACUGGGCGUAAAGAGCGCGCAGGCGGUCGUUCAAGUCGAGUGUGAAAGCCCCCCGGCUCAACUGGGGAGGGUCAUUCGAUACUGAUCGACUCGAAGGCAGGAGAGGGUAGUGGAAUUCCCGGUGUAGUGGUGAAAUGCGUAGAUAUCGGGAGGAACACCAGUGGCGAAGGCGACUACCUGGCCUGUUCUUGACGCUGAGGCGCGAAAGCUAGGGGAGCAAACGGG